GAUGAACGCUGGCGGCGUGCCUAAUACAUGCAAGUCGAGCGAACAGACGAGGAGCUUGCUCCUCUGACGUUAGCGGCGGACGGGUGAGUAACACGUGGAUAACCUACCUAUAAGACUGGGAUAACUUCGGGAAACCGGAGCUAAUACCGGAUAAUAUAUUGAACCGCAUGGUUCAAUAGUGAAAGACGGUUUUGCUGUCACUUAUAGAUGGAUCCGCGCCGCAUUAGCUAGUUGGUAAGGUAACGGCUUACCAAGGCGACGAUGCGUAGCCGACCUGAGAGGGUGAUCGGCCACACUGGAACUGAGACACGGUCCAGACUCCUACGGGAGGCAGCAGUAGGGAAUCUUCCGCAAUGGGCGAAAGCCUGACGGAGCAACGCCGCGUGAGUGAUGAAGGUCUUCGGAUCGUCAAACUCUGUUAUUAGGGAAGAACAAAUGUGUAAGUAACUAUGCACGUCUUGACGGUACCUAAUCAGAAAGCCACGGCUAACUACGUG
rnacentral:rRNA from 1 species